rnacentral:rRNA from 1 species
UAAAGCGCACGCAGGCGGUCUGUCMAGUCGGAUGUGAAAUCCCCGGGCUCAACCUGGGAACUGCAUUCGAAACUGGCAGGCUAGAGUCUUGUAGAGGGGGGUAGAAUUCCAGGUGUAGCGGUGAAAUGCGUAGAGAUCUGGAGGAAUACCGGUGGCGAAGGCGGCCCCCUGGACAAAGACUGACGCUCAGGUGCGAAAGCGKGGGGAGCAAACAGGAUUAGAUACCCUGGUAGUCCACGCCGUAAACGAUGUCGACUUGGAGGUUGUGCCCUUGAGGCGUGGCUUCCGGAGCUAACGCGUUAAGUCGACCGCCUGGGGAGUACGGCCGCAAGGUUAAAACUCAAAUGAAUUGACGGGGGCCCGCACAAGCGGUGGAGCAUGUGGUUUAAUUCGAUGCAACGCGAAGAACCUUACCUACUCUUGACAUCCAGAGAACUUWSCAGAGAUGSWUUGGUGCCUUCGGGAACUCUGAGACAGGUGCUGCAUGGCUGUCGUCAGCUCGUGUUGUGAAAUGUUGGGUUAAGUCCCGCAACGAGCGCAACCCUUAUCCUUUGUUGCCAGCGGUCCGGCCGGGAACUCAAAGGAGACUGCCAGUGAUAAACUGGAGGAAGGUGGGGAUGACGUCAAGUCAUCAUGGCCCUUACGAGUAGGGCUACACACGUGCUACAAUGGCGCAUACAAAGAGAAGCGACCUCGCGAGAGCAAGCGGACCUCAUAAAGUGCGUCGUAGUCCGGAUUGGAGUCUGCAACUCGACUCCAUGAAGUCGGAAUCGCUAGUAAUCGUAGAUCAGAAUGCUACGGUGAAUACGUUCCCGGGCCUUGUACACACCGCCCGUCACACCAUGGGAGUGGGUUGCAAAAGAAGUAGGUAGCUUAA